GAUGAAGAACGUAGUGAAAUGCGAUAAGUAAUGUGAAUUGCAGAAUUCCGUGAAUCAUCGAAUCUUUGAACGCACAUUGCGCCCCUCGGUAUUCCGGGGGGCAUGCCUGUCCGAGCGUCAUUACAACCCUCAAGCUCAGCUUGGUGUUGGGCCCCGCCGCCCCGGCGGGCCCUAAAGUCAGUGGCGGUGCCGUCCGGCUCCGAGCGUAGUAAUUCUUCUCGCUCUGGAGGUCCGGUCGUGUGCUCGCCAGCAACCCCCAAUUUUUUUCAGGUUGACCUCGGAUCAGGUAGGGAUACCCGCUGAACUUAAGCAUAUCAAUAAGCGGAGGA
rnacentral:misc_RNA from 1 species